CCUACGGGGGGCUGCAGUGAGGAAUAUUGGUCAAUGGGCGAGAGCCUGAACCAGCCAAGUCGCGUGAGGGAGUACUGCCCUAUGGGUUGUAAACCUCUUUUGUCGGGGAGCAAAAGCCGGACGUGUCCGGCUGUGAGAGUACCCGAAGAAAAAGCAUCGGCUAACUCCGUGCCAGCAGCCGCGGUAAUACGGGGGAUGCGGGCGUUAUCCGGAUUUAUUGGGUUAAAAGGGUGCGCAGGCGGAUUUUUAAGUCAGCGGUAAAAUCGUGGGGCUCAACCCCAUCCAGCCGUUGAAACUGGGGAUCUAGAGUGUGCGAGAGGUAUGCGGAAUGCGUGGUGUAGCGGUGAAAUGCAUAGAUAUCACGCAGAACCCCGAUUGCGAAGGCAGCAUACCGGUGCACAACUGACGCUCAGGCACGAAAGCGUGGGUAUCGAACAGGAUUAGAUACCCGUGUAGUC
rnacentral:rRNA from 1 species